rnacentral:rRNA from 1 species
ACAGCCGUUGCACACGAGUCAGUCGAUCCUAAGCCCUAUGUGAAAGCUGAUGCCGAUGGGUGGUCGAAAGUUGUUGGCCGAUACCCCCGGUGGGCGAAAGGGAAUCCGGUUCCUAUUCCGGAACCCGGCAGCGGAACCGUUCCGAUUCGGGCCCUCAUAUGAGUGUUCGUCGGGGUAACCCAAAAGGACCCGGAGACGCCGUCGGGAGAUCUGGGGAGAGUUUUCUUUUCUGUAUGAGCGUUCGAGUUCCCUGGAAUCCUCUAGCAGGGAGAUAGGGU